CCUACGGGUGGCAGCAGUGAGGAAUAUUGGUCAAUGGACGAGAGUCUGAACCAGCCAAGUAGCGUGAAGGAUGACUGCCCUAUGGGUUGUAAACUUCUUUUAUAUGGGAAUAAAAUGUUCCACGUGUGGGCUUUUGUAUGUACCCUAUGAAUAAGGAUCGGCUAACUCCGUGCCAGCAGCCGCGGUAAUACGGAGGGUCCGAGCGUUAUCCGGAUUUAUUGGGUUUAAAGGGAGCGUAGGUGGGUUGUUAAGUCAGUUGUGAAAGUUUGCGGCUCAACCGUAAAAUUGCAGUUGAAACUGGCAGUCUUGAGUGCAGUAGAGGUGGGCGGAAUGCGUGGUGUAGCGGUGAAAUGCUUAGAUAUCACGAAGAACUCCGAUUGCGAAGGCAGCUCACUGGACUGCAACUGACACUGAGGCUCGAAAGUGUGGGUAUCAAACAGGAUUAGAUACCCUUGUAGUC
rnacentral:rRNA from 1 species